rnacentral:rRNA from 1 species
GAUGAACGCUGGCGGCGUGCCUAAUACAUGCAAGUCGAGCGAACGGACGAGAAGCUUGCUUCUCUGAUGUUAGCGGCGGACGGGUGAGUAACACGUGGAUAACCUACCUAUAAGACUGGGAUAACUUCGGGAAACCGGAGCUAAUACCGGAUAAUAUUUUGAACCGCAUGGUUCAAAAGUGAAAGACGGUCUUGCUGUCACUUAUAGAUGGAUCCGCGCUGCAUUAGCUAGUUGGUAAGGUAACGGCUUACCAAGGCAACGAUGCAUAGCCGACCUGAGAGGGUGAUCGGCCACACUGGAACUGAGACACGGUCCAGACUCCUACGGGAGGCAGCAGUAGGGAAUCUUCCGCAAUGGGCGAAAGCCUGACGGAGCAACGCCGCGUGAGUGAUGAAGGUCUUCGGAUCGUAAAACUCUGUUAUUAGGGAAGAACAUAUGUGUAAGUAACUGUGCACAUCUUGACGGUACCUAAUCAGAAAGCCACGGCUAACUACGUGCCAGCAGCCGCGGUAAUACGUAGGUGGCAAGCGUUAUCCGGAAUUAUUGGGCGUAAAGCGCGCGUAGGCGGUUUUUUAAGUCUGAUGUGAAAGCCCACGGCUCAACCGUGGAGGGUCAUUGGAAACUGGAAAACUUGAGUGCAGAAGAAGAAAGUGGAAUUCCAUGUGUAGCGGUGAAAUGCGCAGAGAUAUGGAGGAACACCAGUGGCGAAGGCGACUUUCUGGUCUGUAACUGACGCUGAUGUGCGAAAGCGUGGGGAUCAAACAGGAUUAGAUCCCCUGGUAGUCCACGCCGUAAACGAUGAGUGCUAAGUGUUAGGGGGUUUCCGCCCCCUUAGUGCUGCAGCUAACGCAUUAAGCACUCCCCCUGGGGAGUACGACCGCAAGGUUGAAACUCAAAGGAAUUGACGGGGACCCGCACAAGCGGUGGAGCAUGUGGUUUAAUUCGAAGCAACGCGAAGAACCUUACCAAAUCUUGACAUCCUUUGACAACUCUAGAGAUAGAGCCUUCCCCUUCGGGGGACAAAGUGACAGGUGGUGCAUGGUUGUCGUCAGCUCGUGUCGUGAGAUGUUGGGUUAAGUCCCGCAACGAGCGCAACCCUUAAGCUUAGUUGCCAUCAUUAAGUUGGGCACUCUAAGUUGACUGCCGGUGACAAACCGGAGGAAGGUGGGGAUGACGUCAAAUCAUCAUGCCCCUUAUGAUUUGGGCUACACACGUGCUACAAUGGACAAUACAAAGGGCAGCGAAACCGCGAGGUCAAGCAAAUCCCAUAAAGUUGUUCUCAGUUCGGAUUGUAGUCUGCAACUCGACUACAUGAAGCUGGAAUCGCUAGUAAUCGUAGAUCAGCAUGCUACGGUGAAUACGUUCCCGGGUCU